ensembl:snRNA U6 U6 spliceosomal RNA
GUGCUCACUUUGGCAGCAUACUUACUAAAGUUGGAUCGAUACAGAGAUUAGCAUGGCCCUCACAAAGGGAUGACAUGCAAAUUCACGAAGCAUUCCAUAUUAAA